GUGAAAUAUACAGACUAUUAGUGCAAUCUACCCAUAUAUAUUAUCUACUAAAAACAGUUAAUGGUAAGCAUGUACUCAGAGUAUACAACUACUAUAGUGUUUCUGCAUUCUCAAAUAGUGAUGGACUAUAAGCAUUUCAAGAGAGGACAGUUUUUGACAGACGGAGAGUUACACCCCAAUAUUAAAGACAUUUGAGUGAAUUAGUUACACAUCCUUUUGUGGCAUCACAGAUAGUGAUUACAUCUUUCAAACAAAAA